UCUACGUUUUUUUUUGUUUUUUUAUUGGGGUUGCCUGACGAGUUCCGGGUUCGAGUCCCGAGCAACCCG
rnacentral:tRNA from 1 species